rnacentral:misc_RNA from 1 species
GACUUCUCGAUACGCUAUUGCUGCAUGAGCGUGUGCGUGUGCCACCGCAGCUCUAUCACAUUGGACGCAGCUCACACAAACUGCGUCUUAUGCGCACUGUCUCCAUCCGCACCGCGACUGUUCUCCUAGUCUUUCCUGAGCCGCACAUACGGUGAUGCUGGAACUGGAUGGGACGACACUGACCUACGAGGGGUUUCGCGAUGCAUGCCUCAGGCCGAACCGCCCCGCCGUUAUUCGAAAUGCGUGCCGCGACGCGAGCGGUGGCAUCUGCUUUGACCUCGCAGCUCUCAAGCGCCGCCUCUGCCCACGAGAGCUAUGCCGCUGUCUCGGCUCACAGACUUUGGCUCCGGUCUAUCCCGUACCCUCCACGGCACAAGUGACAUCAUGUGACAGCACGCCAGCGGCGAGGGAUGAGAGGCGCCACGAGCCGCCGACGACGGUGAGGGAUGAGGUGGUGGAGGCAGACGAGGAGGGUUGCUGCAAAACUGUACCUCUUGAAGCGGUGCUGCACUCGUGGGCCGCAUCGACGAGCGCGGCCGCCUGCUCUCCGUCGCCGCCGCACGUGUACUACCUGAAGGACUGGCACUUGCAAGCCGCACUGGAGAGCACCGCGGCCACUGAAACGGUGACAACGUCGUCAGCUGCAUCAUCGCGAUUGUGCGAGUAUGCCAAGUCUCGGGCGAGUGGCACGCACGGCGACGGGCUCUACCGCGUCCCAAGGUUCCUCGGUGCGGACUGGAUGGACUCCUUUUGUUGUCGCCACGUGGUGCCCAGCAAUGGGGUGCUGAGCAAGACUGCGCCAGCCCACGACACAGACGCCAGCACACAGAUAGGGUUUGGUAAUGGCGAGAGUGAUUAUCGAUUCUGCUACAUUGGCCCCGUGGGGAGCUGGACGCCGCUGCACUACGACGUGUUUGGCACUUACUCCUGGUCCUUCAACGUGUGCGGUGAUAAGAACUGGUAUUUUCCGACAGUGGCGGGCAACGCGUACUUGCACGACCACCUUUUCCCGCUGUUCCCGACGCCGCCGGACAUACGUGUGCUGACUGGCUUUGAACUCGAGGCGGUGGUGCAGCAUCCUGGCGACCUCGUCUUUGUGCCUGCCUUCUUUUACCACCAAGUGCACAACAUCACCGGCGAGGUGUUUCCCUUGUUCGCCGGUGAGGGGGCGGCUGUGGAGGACGACCGUGACCAAGACGCCGCCGAGCCAGUUGCGCCAGCUGAGGCGAAUGAGCACCUGUCGGCGGCGCUGACAGUCUCGUUGAAUCACAACUGGUGCAACACUUUCAACGUGGAGCGCAUGGUGAAGGCUUUUUUGGCCGAUGCACGGCAGCUUGCGUCCCACCUCUCCAUUGAAGACUUGGCCCUCAUCUGCGACACACGCGACUCGGCGGUGUGGCGGCGGUUUGCAGACCGGCUGCUUCACAACGGGACGAACUGGUCGUUCGCGAGCAUGACCUGCUUCCUGGACCACUGCCUGGCACAGCUCGAUUCAGGUGUAGAUGCUGCCGUUGGGGCAGAGGACGAGCGCGGCGCGGCUGCGGAUGAGUUGCACCGACUGCGUGGCCAAGUUGCUGAAGAGUACGCGCACCUGCUCGAGGAAAAGAGGCCCUAACGCCGCAGACUGGGAAGGGGGGUGGAGGCGGAGAGAAAUGAGUGGGUGGUGUACUCGGGCUGCUUCUCCAAGAAGCGCCAAAGGCCGUGGACCCGCCUUCAUCGCUAUCUUUUCCUGACGAUCCUUCUUCGUACGGCAUCUUGCGUGCCCGAGACUGAGCCCGUCACGGACACUUCCCUGCCUCGCUGCGUGCAGGUAUGCCCGCCGUCUGCUCUCCCUCUUACUAAUUCUCUUUCUCAUCGCAACAAAAAGAAGCCACAAGCGCAGAAGCGAAUGCACAGAUCCAGCAUCCGACGUGGCCACGACAUUACUUGUUGGGUUCACUGCCGGUAGCGCUCGUUCCUCGGCGGUGAGAAGAAGCCGGGGUAACGAGAGGCAUGGCGGCUCCUCCACUUUGCCGUGUAGGUAAUGGUAGUGGCCGGUGAUGAUGGGAUCGCCGCUGCUGUAGAAGCUAACCAUCGGCGCUCUUCUUCAAUCUCUCUCGCUCCACGACAUGACGCACACAAACACCAAAGAAAGAAACUCCAAAAGACGUAGUCAAUGCCUUUGGUUUGCCUCACAUGACGCGGCCGUAUGCGUGCAUGUAUGUGCUGCAUGACACUCGACCUGACUCGCUUGGGUUCCUUUCUCUCUUCAUUCUCUCUUCCUUCCUCUAUCUUAACGCUUAUUCCUUGUCGUUCUGCCGUCGUGCCCCACGACUUGGCAUCCAUACGCACAAACAAACACACACGCGUACCCACAUGCCUGUGUGUGCGUGUGUGUGUGUGUGUGGGGGGUAUCAUCGGUUCCGCCGUCCCAG